CGGCCGCGGUACCCUAACCGUGCAAAGGUAGCACAAUCACUUGUUCUUUAAAUAAGGACUAGUAUGAAUGGCACCACGAAGACUAUACUGUCUCCUUUCUGAAAUCAGUGAAACUGAUCUUCCCGUGAAGAAGCGGGAAUCAUUAUAUAAGACGAGAAGACCCCAUGAAGCUUCAAAUUAAAUAUUAACUGCCACCUCUUAAUACCACCCUAACCUAGCAGAUCUAAUUAUUAAUUUUAGGUUGGGGUGACCACGGAGUAAAACAAAACCUCCUCAAUGAAUAGGACUAAAUCCCUAAUUCAAGAACAACAAUUCUAACAAUCAACACAUUGACAUAACUUGACCCAAAUUUUUGAUCAAUGAACCAAGUUACUCUGGGGAUAACAGCGCAAUCCAUUUCAAGAGCCCAUAUCGACAAAUGGGUUUACGACCUCGAUGUUGGAUCAGGGUAUCCCAGUGGUGCAGCCGCUACUAAAGGUUCGUUUGUUCAACGAUUAAAACCCUACGUGAUCUGA
rnacentral:rRNA from 1 species